GAAGCUGGAGGAUGGGACAGCAUACCAGCCGGGGUCCUAGGAAUUCCAUUCUCUGGAGCAGCUUGGCUGGCUCCUCUCAUUCUCAGCAUGAAACAGAAGGGACAGCGCCAGCAGCCCCUGGAGCCUGUAAGCUGGUGAUCGGGGUUUAAGGAUUUCAGAAGUAAUCCCAAGUGUCUGCAGUUAGCCCUGUCCCCUCCCCCUGCCUCUUUAGCCCAAGGACCGGCUCUCUGCUUGGAUCCUUCAGCCUCGGGGACCUCAGGGGACAACCAGCAAGUGAUGCCUUAAAGUUCCCUCUGCCCUUGACCUGCUUUCAAGUUAACAGGUCCUGCUCUCAAGAGGCUUACAUUCUCCUGGGGAUGUGACAUUUAUACAAGUGGACCAAUGAGUGGGGAGGGGAUUCUUCCUCCUUCCAUUCCCUCUAUUCCUACACCCCAAAGGAACACAAAGGAAGACCCCGCAUCAUGAGCAGCCUAUGCCAGCUCAGCUGAGCCUGAGAUAACACCUCUGGAUCUCCCCUGUUCAAGAAACUCCCGUGGCUCCCUAUUACCUCUCAGAGACAUUCAGAGCUCUCUGCCACCUGGCUCCGGAACACCUUUUGU